GAUGAAGAACGUAGCGAAAUGCGAUAAGUAGUGUGAAUUGCAGAAUUCAGUGAGUCAUCGAAUCUUUGAACGCACAUUGCGCCCCUUGGUAUUCCAUGGGGCAUGCCUGUUCGAGCGUCAUUUGUACCUUCAAGCUUUGCUUGGUGUUGGGUGUUUGUCUCGCCUCUGCGUGUAGACUCGCCUUAAAACAAUUGGCAGCCGGCGUAUUGAUUUCGGAGCGCAGUACAUCUCGCGCUUUGCACUCAUAACGACGACGUCCAAAAGUACAUUUUUACACUCUUGACCUCGGAUCAGGUAGGGAUACCCGCUGAACUUAAGCAUAUCAAUAAGCGGAGGA
rnacentral:misc_RNA from 1 species